rnacentral:rRNA from 1 species
AUUGAACGCUGGCGGCAGGCCUAACACAUGCAAGUCGAACGAGUGGCGGACGGGUGAGUAAUGUAUGGGAAACUGCCCGAUGGAGGGGGAGAACUACUGGAAACGGUAGCUAAUAACGCAUACCAUCGGAGGUGACCAGAUUGGAUUAGCUUGUAGGUGAGGUAACGGCUCACCUAGGCGACGAUCCCUAGCUGGUCUGAGAGGAUGACCAGCCACACUGGAAUUGAGACACUGUCCAGACUCCUACGCGAGGCCGCAGUGUGGAAUAUUGCACAUUGGGCGCAAUCCUGAUGCAGCCAUGCCGCGUGUAUGACGAAGGCCUUCAGGUUCUAAAGUACUUUCAGCGGCGAGGCGUUACCCGCACAAUAAUCACCGGCUAACUCCGUGCCAGCCGCCGCGGUAAUUC